AGUUGCAGAAAAGAGAGAAGUUAGAUUAUGUCCAUGUGAAUCAUAACGUUAAUGCUGAUUUUGAAACGAUACAAAUCCGGUUGAGUAACGUUAUUAUCAGUAACUUUACUUACUGUGCGUGUAAUGUUAGCUAGGUCUGGGGUUGGAUCUGUGCAACGUAGUAAGGCUAGCAGCUUUUGUUUUAAAAAAAAAUGUAAUUCAUGAAAAAAUGUUAUAUUAUCAGUCAUUUAGCAGGAUGUUGUAAGGAAUAAAAAUCAAUAUUAUGUGUAACUACAACACUGUCUUUUUUGAAAACCAUUUUAUUUUGAAACUGUUUAUUUUUGUAACCGGAUGUAUACUACACUGAUGACACUAAAAGAACACUUCUACACAUGUACAACCUGGUCAAGGCUAAACACACCGAUUCUGCCUUUCAAUAAUAACUUGGGAUCUUCAGGAAUCAGUUUGGAUUGGGAAAGAUUGGGCCACAAGCUGCAGUUAUUUGAAGCACACAACAUAUCCAAGUCCAGGUGUGAGGAGCCAGCUGAAACGGGGGAGUUUCCCCAAGACCCUUCAGGGAGGAGCCAGAAGGAGCUUCAGCACGGACUGGUUCAAAACUCAUUCAUGGCUUGAGUACUCACAGUCCAAAGACUCCGCAUAUUCUUUCCCCUGUAGAUAUUUCUCUUUACCUGAUGCCCCCAAGACUGUUUUCACCUCAAUUGACGGGUAUCGUAACUGGAAAAAGGCCACAAUGAAAGACAGUGGUUUCUGUUCUCAUGCCCGAUCUGAAAGCCAUGUAAAUGCAAUGUUUGCAUGGGCAGAAAACAAGCGAAUGAGUGACAAAAAUACCCCAAUGAUGGGAAUAAUGGAUGAGCAAAAUAAGAAAAAGCUGGUGCGCAGAAGUUACAGACCGGCUGCAUGGCAUGACACCGUGGGAGAGGCAGCAACAAUCUUUGAACGCGGGAGACGGAAGGAGAAGCUGGAACAAUGCCCAAAAGAUCAACACUACCCUAACUGUCUAUUUUUUGCAAACAUGUAUAAAAACUGGGCUGAGGGAAAUAUAGUCUGUCAGACUUCGUGCCCUGACACUCUCUGUUGUGUGUAGGGACAGUGUGGCCCAGAGCGCUCUGUAACCUGUGUCUUAUUGUUUUUACUUUAUUA